UUCGUAGGCGGCGUGGCAAGUCGGAAGUGAAAUCUCCGGGCUUAACCCAGAGGCUGCUCCCGAAACUGCCGUGCUAGAGUGCGGGAGAGGCGAGUGGAAUUGCAGGUGUAGCGGUGAAAUGCGUAGAUAUCUGCAGGAACACCCGUGGCGAAGGCGGCUCGCUGGACCGCAACUGACGCUGAGGAACGAAAGCUAGGGGAGCAAACAGGAUUAGAUACCCUGGUAGUCCUAGCCCUAAACCAUCAGGACUUGGGGUGCAUCCCGUUCGGGGUGCGUCCCGUAGCUAACGCGUUAAGUCCUGCGCCUGGGGAGUACGGUCGCAAGACUGAA
rnacentral:rRNA from 1 species